GAGUCUACUGGCUCAAUGGUUAAACCUCAGUAUACCCUUUGGUCCUCUUUUCAAGUCUCUACGUAAGCAAUGAGGAAUUAUUUUUACACCGUAUGGUAAUUAGUUUAUUUUUAUUAAUUAAAUAUUUGUUUUUCUAAAAAUAAUUUCCCUCUUACGUUUUUUUAUUUUUCUUGAACUUUCUUUUUUCUUCUUCUUUACUAUCG
rnacentral:lncRNA from 1 species